rnacentral:rRNA from 1 species
UACGUAGGGUGCGAGCGUUGUCCGGAAUUAUUGGGCGUAAAGAGCUCGUAGGCGGUGUGUCGCGUCGGCCGUGAAAACCUGCAGCUUAACUGUGGGCUUGCGGUCGAUACGGGCAUCACUGGAGUUCGGCAGGGGAGACUGGAAUUCCUGGUGUAGCGGUGAAAUGCGCAGAUAUCGGGAGGAACACCGGUGGCGAAGGCGGGUCUCUGGGGCCGAUACUGGACGCUGAGGAGCGAAAGCGUGGGGAGCGAACAGG